AGCCAGACUCCUACGGGAGGCAGCAGUGGGGAAUAUUGCACAAUGGGGGAAACCCUGAUGCAGCGACGCCGCGUGAGCGAUGAAGUAUUUCGGUAUGUAAAGCUCUAUCAGCAGGGAAGAAAAUGACGGUACCUGACUAAGAAGCCCCGGCUAACUACGUGCCAGCAGCCGCGGUAAUACGUAGGGGGCAAGCGUUAUCCGGAUUUACUGGGUGUAAAGGGAGCGUAGACGGCUGUGCAAGCCAGAUGUGGAAGCCCGGGGCUCAACCCCGGGACUGCAUUUGGAACUGUGUGGCUGGAGUGUCGGAGAGGCAGGCGGAAUUCCUAGUGUAGCGGUGAAAUGCGUAGAUAUUAGGAGGAACACCAGUGGCGAAGGCGGCCUGCUGGACGAUGACUGACGUUGAGGCUCGAAAGCGUGGGGAGCAAACAGGAUUAGAUACCCCAGUAA
rnacentral:rRNA from 1 species